GCUUGGGUAGCUCAGUUGGUAGAGCAUUCGCCUGAAGAGCGAAGGGUCACCGGUUCGACCCCGGUCCCAAGCACCA
rnacentral:tRNA from 1 species